UGAGUCUGAAGGGAAAUGUUGCUAUAGUUAAUAAUACUUUGAACGUGUUUGUGUCCACUGAUUUGCAUGAUAUCCGUGGGGUAGCAUCCUGAAUCCCGCAGCUUCUGUACCAUGUGCUUCCUGGCAGAGUGAUUUAAACAACGAACCUGUAAGUUGCGACCACACAUUUGGAUGGGUCUUCUUCAUUGGCCCAAAUUCUUGGCGGCACAGUUCUUGCUUCGUCAGUUGCACCCGUUCGAGUCUUUGUCUGCCUCUCGACCAACUCCAGAUACUUAUCUCCCUCUACGUAUCGGCACAGCUUCACAUCACCCCAUCUAAUUAAUUCGGAAAGGUUGACGACCAGUGAAAACAAUGUUAUGUUCAGUUAAAGUUGUGCCGACAGAACACUCUACGAACACAUUUUUAGAUACAUGUACAAUCUAAAUUGCAGACACUGGAAAGUUGAAUUGUUAAUGUGUUAUAAGGCAUAGUUCGCCUUUAUAUUUAUAAGACAGAAAAAGUGACAGAAAAAUUUGCAUUUUUAAGUAAUAGUUAGAAGUCAAGAUGCAUCGUAAAUAUUCUGUAUUCCAGCAAGUUCAAAAUUUUAUUGUUUACCGUAAAUUGUAAUGUUCUUCCAUA